UAUUGGUGAGAAUAAUAAUGCUGUCCAUAAAGGAUGGAUUAUAUUGGUGAGAAUAAUCCAUCCUUUAUGGACAGCAUUAUUAUCUGUG
rnacentral:miRNA from 1 species